rnacentral:rRNA from 1 species
UACGUAGGGGGCAAGCGUUGUCCGGAAUUAUUGGGCGUAAAGAGCGCGUAGGCGGUCCGGUAAGUCGGUUGUGAAAGUCGGGGGCUCAACCCUCGGAUGCCGAUCGAUACUGUCGGGCUAGAGUCCGGAAGAGGCGAGUGGAAUUCCUGGUGUAGCGGUGAAAUGCGCAGAUAUCAGGAGGAACACCAAUGGCGAAGGCAGCACUCUGGGACGUGACUGACGCUGAGACGCGAAAGCGUGGGGAGCAAACAGG